rnacentral:rRNA from 1 species
UAGGGAAUCUUCCGCAAUGGGCGAAAGCCUGACGGAGCAACGCCGCGUGAGUGAUGAAGGUCUUCGGAUCGUAAAACUCUGUUACUAGGGAAGAACAAAUGUGUAAGUAACUAUGCACGUCUUUACGGUACCUAAUCAGAAAGCCACGGCUAACUACGUGCCAGCAGCCGCGGUAAUACGUAGGUUGCAAUCGUUAUCCGGAAUUAUUGGGCGUAAAGCGCGCGUAGGCGGUUAUUUAAGUCUGAUGUGAAAGCCCACGGCUCAACCGUGGAGGGUCAUUGGAAACUGGAAAACUGAAGUGCAGAAGAGGAAAGUGGAAUUCCAUGUGUAGCGGUGAAAUGCGCAGAAAUAUGGAGGAACACCAGUGGCGAAGGCGACUUUCUGAUCUAUAACUGACGCUGAUGUGCGAAAGCGUGGGGAUCAAACAGG